GAUGAACGCUAGCUACAGGCUUAACACAUGCAAGUCGAGGGGCAGCACAGUGUAGCAAUACAUGGGUGGCGACCGGCGCACGGGUGCGUAACGCGUAUCCAACCUUCCCGUUACUCUUGGAUAGCCUUCCGAAAGGGAGAUUAAUACAAGAUGGUGUUCAAAUUCCGCAUGUUAUUUGAACUAAAGAUUUAUCGGUAACGGAUGGGGAUGCGUGACAUUAGGUAGAUGGCGGGGUAACGGCCCACCAUGCCUACGAUGUCUAGGGGUUCUGAGAGGAAGGUCCCCCACACUGGAACUGAGACACGGUCCAGACUCCUACGGGAGGCAGCAGUGAAGAAUAUUGGUCAAUGGUCGGAAGACUGAACCAGCCAAGUAGCGUGAAGGAUGAAGGUUCUAUGGAUUGUAAACUUCUUUUAUACGGGAAUAAAACCUCCCACGUGUGGGAGCUUGUAUGUACCGUAUGAGUAAGCAUCGGCUAACUCCGUGCCAGCCGCCGCCGUAACAC
rnacentral:rRNA from 1 species